rnacentral:misc_RNA from 1 species
AACGCAAGUUGCGCCCCAAGCCAUUAGGCCGAGGGCACAUCUGCCUGGGUGUCACGUAUCGUCGCCCCUCCCCACCCCUCUUCGCGGAGUGCGGGGCGGAAAAUGGCCUCCCGUGCGCAACUCGCUCGCGGUUGGCCCAAACAUGAGUCCCAGGCGACCAGAGCGCCGCGACGAUCGGUGGUGUGUCCUUAUGCUCGUCGCGCGUCGCGCGCGCCGGUCGCCCUUAGGGAUGCCUCGAGACCCUUAAGCGUCCCCUCGAAGACGCUCGCAUCGCGACCCCAGGUCAGGUGGGACUACCCGCUGAGUUUAA